rnacentral:rRNA from 1 species
UACUCGCCCUUUACGCCCAGUAAUUCCGAACAAGGCUUGCUCCCAAGUCGAUCGUGAAAACUCAGCACUCAGUCAGCCGGAGCCUCUUGAGGUGGUCACGUCAAGGGUCCCGGAGAGGAUAAGGGAAUGGGUUCGUCACCCCUGACAGGGGCAGACAUCCGGAGGGCCUUCCUCCCCCACGCGGCGUCUCUGCGUCAGGCUUUC